rnacentral:tRNA from 1 species
AGGGCGGCCCAGAGGAAGCUUAGGCUUCUAACCUUUAGCUUAAGCGGUUAAAUUCCGUUUCCACCCUU